CACCAAAAACAGAUAGGGAUACUUUUUCUGAGUAGGAUUGCUUACCUUGAAUGUUUGUUUAUUGUGAUUUUGAAGGUAAAAAAGAAGCGGUUCCACAUUUUGAUUUGCUACUGUAAGGUGUCUGGCACAAUGUCACCCAAGGAAUAAUGUCAGAUUGCCAUGACAGUUAAUUGAGAAUCGGACUUCAUGUAAAACCAAAUAACAAUGUUAUCUGAAGACAACAUUACAACUAACUAGAAUUAGCAGGGAGGAAAAUAUUGUGCAUUAUAUGUUAAAUGUUGAGAUGAUAAUUGCUUUCUUUUGAUUUAAUUCUCUUCCCUCAUCUCCACAAAGGAGCUGUAGUUAUGCUAUUUUGUGAAAGAGAUGCUAUUAAGGAUUUCUGGUGUAGUCAAUUUCUAUGAGAAUACGACCCUCA